GACGAACGCUGGCGGCGUGCCUAAUACAUGCAAGUCGAGCGGACCGAACAGGAGCUUGCUCUUGUUCGGUUAGCGGCGGACGGGUGAGUAACACGUGGGUAACCUGCCCGUAAGACCGGGAUAACUCCGGGAAACCGGAGCUAAUACCGGAUAACACCGAAGACCGCAUGGUCUUUGGUUGAAAGGCGGCUUCGGCUGCCACUUACGGAUGGGCCCGCGGCGCGUUAGCUAGUUGGUGAGGUAACGGCUCACCAAGGCGACGAUGCGUAGCCGGCCUGAGAGGGGGACCGGCCACACUGGGACUGAGACACGGCCCAGACGCCUACGGGAGGCAGCAGUAGGGAAUCUUCCGCAAUGGACGAAAGUCUGACGGAGCGACGCCGCGUGAGCGAAGAAGGUCUUCGGAUCGUAAAGCUCGGUUGUUAGGGAAGAAGAAGCGUCGUUCGAACAGGGCGGCGCGGUGACGGUACCUAACGAGAAAGCCCCGGCUAACUACGUG
rnacentral:rRNA from 1 species